rnacentral:lncRNA from 1 species
GGUUGGUCCCGGCGGGGGAAGGAGAAAGUGAGACUCGGUGUCAUCACCAAUCCGUCGCCAGAAGGGGAGGAAACUGGAAUCCAGCAGCGGCGAGCAGCAGCUGGGCGGUCACAUCUGGAAAUGGAAAGCCGACCUCCCCCUCCUCCUCCACCUCUUCCUCCUCCUCCUCCUCCUCCUCUCACCCAGGAUCACUUCCGAAACCACUUGGCCUUCAGCCCCUGCCUCGGCCAGAGGUUUCAUUUUUAACUGAAUAUUUACGAAAGCUGAAAGCGUGCGAGGGGGGUGGGGUGGAAAUAGCGGCUGCUUCUUUUCCAAGGAUUUAUUUAAUGGGGAUGUGUUCAAGGCAAGACCGAAUUCAGAAGGAUAUCGACGUCGUGAUCCAGAAGUCCAGAGCUGAGGACUGCCUGUUUGCAGGACAACUGUGCAGACUACAAAGCUUCGGAAAACCGGAGAGGCUGAGUCGACUAAUCGUGUUGUUGCACGUUAGAAACGCUUGCAUUGCCUGACUCUGAAACCAGAAGGGCGGCCGAAUGGCCUUCACCCUCCAUUAACCCUCGCCUCCUUCAGAAGCCAGUGCCUCUGGAAAUGCCUGGAUCUGCGACCCCAGCCUGAGCCUAGUAGGGCCCAAGGGAAGCUGAACGCCCCGACGGCUCUCAUGGGCACCGGCAACAGUUUUCCGUUUGUGCCUACUCCACCUGCUGUCUUUGUUGGGUCAGCGAACAUCGCCUCCCUCUACCGCUCAAUCAGCAAAAGGGACCGCCCUUGAGGACCUCACCCGCGGCUCACUCCCCUCCCAACUUCGCGGGCAUCGCCUCCGGUCGCCUCUUCCGAAGGCCUAACGAGCAUGUUAGCUGCGAACGGAGGUGAGGAGGCUCCGCUGACUGACCGGUGCCCAUGUCCAGGGCACGCACAAACGCCAUGACUUGGCUUGGCCUCUCUCUUAGUUAUUCACAAGCUCAGCCCGAUAGGCACCUCUGGGGCGGCGACGGCAAAGAGGGUGCGCUUAUUAAGUGCAGCUCCACGGGGACUGGCCUCUGCACGGCUGUGUACACCUGAGCGAGACGCUCAGUCGCUCUCUAAAGCCGCUUCUGCGGAUGACAGACACGGAGAUAAACGUGAGAGGUGGCCCACCACGACUUGCCCUCCUUUGCCCGGGUUUGCCCCUCGCUGCGGAGGCUGUUCUACAUCUGGCCCUUGGAGCAGGCCGGCUGACAGCGUGGUAAAGGAAGAUUUCUGCGGGAGGGCGGCCAGUGCAAAACAAUUCCCUGACCGGGAAUCGAACCCGGGCCGUGGCGCUUUCAGCACCGAAUCCUAGCCACUAGACAACCAUGCAGAUGCGGAAAGCUGCUUUCUCUCCCUUCUUCGACCUGAAGCGACACUUUCCUGUGCUCUAGGAGGACUUGGGUCUUGUGAGAGUCUCCCUUUGCUCCUGGAGUCGUCUCACAAGGCCGUUCACUCCCUGCUUUCUUCAAAAAAAGAACCUGCAGGCGACACACCAAGGGCUCCACGAGGGAGUCCUGAGUACUGGAGCGAGUUGCGGCCACGCGGCCGCAGCUCACCACUGGCCUAGAGAUGCCCUUUGCCAGGCGGCAGCAACUGACAAGAUGGUCGCGGGUCGCCGGGUCCGGAGCCGCCCACCAGGUUGCCAGGAGGAGGCGGGAGCGGGGAGGCGCCCGAGGUGAGACGGGGGCACCCUCUGCAUCAUAAAGGACCCAGACCCCGGCACCCUCAACAUCAUAAGGAAUCAGACGGAUGCGGAAACCGAGGCGGGCUGGAUAGGAAACUCUUUCCAGGAAGGCUCCGGGGCACUCAACUGGUCUCCAACCUUCCCCUGCAACCUGUGACGCCUGCCAUUUUCCCAUUUUAGGCGAUGGCAACGCAACCCCUCCGUUUGCUCUGGGCAAAACUUCGAGAGUUCCCUCUGAAGCUGGAGCUUUUUCCUCAGAUCCAAGAUCCAAUUGGUCACCAAUUCGUGAUUUCCGUCGGCCAAGUGCGUGGGCAUUGAUCUACACGCGAGUUUCUCCACCUCUGCCGAAUGGCUACUUCGGGGUGGGGGAGGGGCCCUCCCGCCGUGGAUUGCAAGGUGUUUAGCAGCAUCUGUCUCCUCCGCUGACUAGACACAUGCCAGGGGGAUAACAUUCUCCCUCCCGCUUCCCCCAGCCGCGGCCUAGUGUCCCAGCGGGGUUGGGAGAGGCAUGUGAGGGCGAAGUUGCCCCCUGUUGAGAACCAUUGCUGCGCGUAGUCCUUCUCUCUGAACUUGUGCAGAGGACUCUCCAGGUGAAGGCUCAAGGGUGGAUCCAGCUCGAGACACCCUCGCUCCCCCUCACAGUCGGACCUUAGGAUUUAGGCUUUAACAUCUCCACAUCAUGAGAUUCGAAACCUUUAGGUCUUGUCUUCCGUUCUGUCCUCCAAAUCGGCCUCUUCCGAGCCUGUUGACCAGGGCCAGCCGGGCAGAGGGCUGGGCUCGCUCAACGAGGCUCCUCUCGCACCUCCUGGAGCUUCAGGCUUCUUUCCGUUGCAGAGAAGCUUUAUGGGCCAAUUCGUUCGGCAUCCCCGGGGGCAGGUGCGCGGUGCGCGGGGAAGAAGAGGAUUUGACUGCGGUUCUCCACCCCCGGCGCCCAACCUCCACCCCGGUGCGCGCGCUCUUCCAGGCUCCUGCUGGUCCCACUUGCCAGGAGUUAGGUCUCAGGUCAGCCUGAGCUCCUGAGACGCCCAGGCCCGGAAAGACACGUAGGGGAAACCAUCUGCUCACUUCUGUCCUGUCCGGAAGGGAUCCCUUUCUGACGGGAAAGAAAGGCGCUAAACAAGCACUGGCCUUGAGAUAAGCAAUGCUGAAGCACUUGCAGCUCACCUAUUACCAUAAACUGACUGAGCCCUCCCUACACAAGCCGUAACUACUGCUUUGAUUGGACAAGAGACUGAUUUCAGUAGUUUUCUCUUGAUAAGAGACCACUGGCCGUGGGCGGGUUCUGGACAGUUUACAGAAGCUAUGCACUUGAUUGCCUUUGUGUCCCUGCUUCACCUUUUGAAGCAUAGGGCCUAAUUAUAAUGUAUUUAAAUGUUGUCUCCACCCCAAAGUGAACAUGGGUUGCAUGUAACAGGCAUGUUUACUCAGCAUGCAUGCAGCAGGAUCCCUUCACAAAUAUUCAGAGCUCCCCCUAUUCCCUGUUGAAUAUGUAUAUGUGGCCAGCCAGAUCAACGUAAAUCACUAUUCGCCCUCCCCUCCCUGGAAACCUACUUUUCGGGUUUCAGCAGGAAGCUAUGCCUCCCAGUCUGUCAGAAUGGCCACUUGCAGGCUGUAACCCUUUAUAAAAAAAUAAAAUCUCCUUUCUAAAUUUA